AAUUGUAUAAUAUAAAAAAUAUAUUUGAUUUCCAAUCAAAAAUUCUGAUAAUUUCAGUUCAAUUA
rnacentral:tRNA from 1 species